UUGACAGAUCCCUUCGGGGUGAAGAUAAGAUGGAUUAGCGGCGGACGGGUGAGUAACACGUGAGUAACCUGCCUUAGACAUUGGGAUAGCCUCGGGAAACCGGGAUUAAUACCAAAUGAAAUCAUAGGUGCCCAUGCACUAAUGAUCAAAACUCCGGUGGUCUAAGAUGGACUCGCGUCCCAUUAGCUAGUUGGUGAGGUAACGGCCCACCAAGGCGACGAUGGGUAGCCGGCCUGAGAGGGUGAACGGCCACAUUGGAACUGAGAAACGGUCCAAACUCCUACGGGAGGCAGCAGUGGGGAAUAUUGCACAAUGGAGGGAACUCUGAUGCAGCGACGCCGCGUGAACGAUGAAGGCUUUCGAGUCGUAAAGUUCUUUUAUAUGGGAAGAUAAUGACGGUACCAUAAGAAAAAGCCCCGGCUAACUACGUGCCAGCAGCCGCGGUAAUACGUAGGGGGCUAGCGUUGUCCGGAAUCACUGGGCGUAAAGGGUUCGCAGGCGGAAAUGCAAGUCAGAUGUAAAAGGCAGUAGCUUAACUACUGUAAGCAUUUGAAACUGCAUAUCUUGAGAAGAGUAGAGGUAAGUGGAAUUUUUAGUGUAGCGGUGAAAUGCGUAGAUAUUAAAAAGAAUACCGGUGGCGAAGGCGACUUACUGGGCUCAUUCUGACGCUGAGGAACGAAAGCGUGGGUAGCAAACAGGAUUAGAUACCCUGGUAGUCCACGCUGUAAACGAUGAGUGCUAGGUAUC
rnacentral:rRNA from 1 species